UAUGGGAAUACUAGCAGCAUUUUUUAUUUUUUUUAUUUAUUUUUUGCUUUUUAGGACCACACUCCCUGGCAACCUCCAUGUGCCGUGGGUGCAGCCCUAAAAAAGCAAAAAAAAAAAAAAAAAAAAAAAAAAAAAAAAAAGUAAAUCAAAAAUUUGCAUCAAAACUCAAAUUGUAGACACUGUUAUAUUUUAAAAUGCUAAUGCUGCCCCAAACCACCAACUCAGAUGCACAGGUGAGUUUCAUAGAUUAUCACUGACUUCCUGUACCACAUACUUUAAGAGAUUGGUGUUAGCAAGCUGCUACACUUCCUUGAUCAAAGAGGCAGAAACCUCUGCAAAACAGUCAGCUGAUGGAAUGCUUCACUAGAAUGAAUCUAGGAACUGUUUUCUAAUGCUCCUAUUCAAUAGCAAAUAGACUUUGAUUCAUUUUGGUGUAGGGUUCCCUGGGUCAAUUUAGUUUGAAUAUACAUCAUUUGAAAUAGGGUACCGCUGCUACCCUCAUAACUUAUCUACAUAAAUUGAAGCAAGACUGGAGAAGGAGCAUAGUGGAUACAGAGCAACUUGGAAAGAUAACAGCAGUGACUAAAAAUGAAACACAAUGGUUGUAUUUCAGGGACCCUACCAAGCAGAAGGUAAUUACCAUAGCUCUUAAGUUCCACCUGAUAGGUUGAUGGAGCCUCAAGUCCUAUCUGAUAUCAUGUCCCAUACCCCUGUCUUGCUAUCGGCUAAAGUCAUCAGGGAAGAGGCAAAGAAAGUCCUGUCAAUAAGGUAACUCCUCAUGGAUCACAGUAAUCUACCCUCCAUGGCACUAUUCCUUCCCACACAAUGGGCUAGAGAUUGCUGCUCCAUUUACGUAUUUAAGAAAGAAAGGUCAAACUCAAGUUUGAAAAGAUACAUGCACCCCCAAUGUUCAUUUACAAUAGCCAAGACAUGGAAGCAACCUAAGUAUCCAUCAACAGAGGAGUGAUAAAGGAUAUGUGGCAUAUAUAUAAUAUAUAUGAUGGAGUAUUACUCAGCCAUAAAAAAGAAUGAAAUAAUGACACUUGCAGCAACAUGGAUAGACCUAGAGAUUAUCAUACUAAGUGAAGUAAGCCAGACAAAGACAGUUACCAUAUAAUGUCACUUAUAUGUAGAAGCUAACAUAUGAUACAAAGAACUUAUUUACAAAACAGAAAUAGACUCACAGUCAAAGAAAACAAAGCUAUGGUUCCCAGUGGGAAAAGGGGUGGGGAGGAUAAAUUAGGAGUUUGGGGUUAGCAGGUACAUACUAUUAUUUAUAAAAUAAACAACAAGAUCCUAUUGUAUAACAUAGGGAACUAUAUUCAGUAUCUUGUGAUCAAUAUGAAAAAUAAUAUAUAUGUAUAUAUAAAGAAUAUAUGUAAGGAAUAUGUAUAAAUAAAGCACAACAUUGUAAAUACUUAAAUUUUAAAAAGAAAGAAUGAUCAGGAAAUACAGUUCACAUUUCAUUCUGAUAUAUACUGUUUUGAGCAUCUUUUCUUAAUAUAGGCAAUAUAAAUGCGGCAUCUAAACACUGUCCUGCUUACUAGUUAUAAUCAGUAUUUAUUUAUUUAUUACUUUUGUCUUUUGUCUUUUUAGGGCCUCACCUG
ensembl:lncRNA